rnacentral:rRNA from 1 species
CAGCAGCCGCGGGAAUACGAAGGGGGCUAGCGUUGCUCGGAAUGACUGGGCGUAAAGGGCGCGUAGGCGGCGGCCAAAGUCAGGCGUGAAAUUCCCGGGCUCAACCUGGGGGCUGCGUUUGAUACUUGGUUGCUUGAGUGGGGAAGAGGGUCGUGGAAUUCCCAGUGUAGAGGUGAAAUUCGUAGAUAUUGGGAAGAACACCGGUGGCGAAGGCGACUCUCUGGUCUGUAACUGACGCUGAGGAGCGAAAGCGUGGGGAGCGAACAGGAUUAGAUACCCGCGUAGUCCCUGUCUCUUAUAC